CCUACGGGAGGCAGCAGUGAGGAAUAUUGGUCAAUGGACGAGAGUCUGAACCAGCCAAGUAGCGUGAAGGAUGACUGCCCUAUGGGUUGUAAACUUCUUUUAUAUGGGAAUAAAAUGUUCCACGUGUGGGAUUUUGUAUGUACCAUAUGAAUAAGGCUCGGCUAACUCCGUGCCAGCAGCCGCGGUAAUACUGAGGAUCCGAGCGUUAUCCGGAUUUAUUGGGUUUAAAGGGAGCGUAGGUGGAUUGUUAAGUCAGUUGUGAAAGUUUGCGGCUCAACCGUAAAAGUGCAGUUGAAACUGGCAGUCUUGAGUACAGUAGAGGUGGGCGGAAUUCGUGGUGUAGCGGUGAAAUGCUUAGAUAUCACGAAGAACUCCGAUUGCGAAGGCAGUUCACUGGACUGCAACUGACACUGAGGCUCGAAAGUGUGGGUAUCAAACAGGAUUAGAUACCCUUGUAGUC
rnacentral:rRNA from 1 species